rnacentral:rRNA from 1 species
CCCUUAGAUGUUCUGGGCCGCACGCGCGCUACACUGACGAUGGCAUCGAGUUUUUCCUUCGCCGAAAGGUGUGGGUAAUCUUUUGAAACAUCGUCGUGCUGGGGAUAGAUCAUUGCAAUUUUUGAUCUUGAACGAGGAAUUCCUAGUAAGCGCGAGUCAUCAGCUCGCGUUGAUUACGUCCCUGCCCUUUGUACACACCGCCCGUCGCUACUACCGAUUGAAUGGUUUAGUGAGGACUCCUGAUUGGCGCCGCCGCCCCGGCAACGGAGCAGCGGACUGCCGAAAAGUUGUUCAAACUUGAUCAUUUAGAGGAAGUAAAAGUCGUAACA